UACGUAGGGAGCAAGCGUUGUCCGGAAUCACUGGGCGUAAAGGGUGCGUAGGCGGGUCUUUAAGUCAGGGGGGAAAUCCUGGAGCUCAACUCCAGAACUGCCUUUGAUACUGAGGAUCUUGAGUUCGGGAGAGGUGAGUGGAACUGCGAGUGUAGAGGUGAAAUUCGUAGAUAUUCGCAAGAACACCAGUGGCGAAGGCGGCUCACUGGCCCGAUACUGACGCUGAGGCACGAAAGCGUGGGGAGCAAACAGG
rnacentral:rRNA from 1 species